rnacentral:pre_miRNA from 1 species
CUCGCUAUUUAUCCUUAGUGAGAGAAACUGAGCUCACAACCAACCAGUUUAUUUAUCCUUAGUGAGAGAAACUGAGUGAGGUGACUAGAUCCAACUGGUUGAUUGUGAGCUCAGUUUCUCUCACUAAGGAUAAAUAGCG